AAGAUGGGUCGGCGGCCGAUUAGGUAGUUGGUGGUGUAAUGGACUACCAAGCCGAAUAUCGGUAAGGGCCCUGAGAGGGGAUGCCCUGAGAAGGACACUGAGAUACUGGUCCUAGCCCUACGGGGUGCAGCAGUCGGGAAAACUUCACAAUGCACGCAAGUGUGAUGAGGGGAUUCCAAGUGCUUAUCCAUUGGAUAGGCUUUUGCCAAGAGCAAAAAUCUUGGCGAAUAAGUGGUGGGCAAGACUGGUGCCAGCCGCCGCGGUAACACCAGCGCCACUAGUGGGAACCAGUUUUAUUGGGUCUAAAGCGUCCGUAGCCGGCCGAGUAAAUCUCCUGUGAAAUUGUUGGGCCUAACUCAACAGCGCGCGGGAAAGACUGCUUGGCUAGGGACCAGGAGAGGCCGGAGGUAUUCCUAGGGGAGCGGUAAAAUGUUAUAAUCCUGGGAGGACCACCGAUGGCGAAGGCAUCCGGCUAGAAUGGAUCCGACGGUGAGGGACGAAAGCUAGGGGAGCGAUCCGGAUUAGAUACCCGAGUAGUCCUAGCUGUAAACGCUGCAUGCUAGAUGUUGCACGUUCCUCGUGAACGUGCAGUGUCGCAGAGAAGUCAUUAAGCAUGCCACCUGGGAAAUACGGUCGCAAG
rnacentral:rRNA from 1 species